AUGAAGGGAAGAAAAGGAAGACAUAGAGGGAGGGUGAGGUGGAGGAGGGAGGAAUGGGGUGAAUGAGAAAUUGUAUUUGCUGGCGGAGAUCUAAUAGCGGUGGGGCUGGAGAAUGAGAUCCCUGCCACCUAACCCUCCCAUCAAGAGGCCGGCUGUGAAGAAAGACUUCAGAGCAGGCAGGGGGCAGAUAGGAUCUCAGCUCCUCCGCAGGGUGCUGGGCCCGCUGCCUCCACCACUGGAGUUCACAAACUCUAGAAAGUGCAGAAGCCUUCACUGCAGAAUGGAGAUGGUGGUAGCACCUCCGCCUGGGGGUUUGAGGCUUAGCCAGGGUGAUCAAAGGACAAGGCUGUGUUAAAAUUCAGAGCACUAUGAACCCAUUUGUCAACUUCAGAUAGAAGGAAAAGUGGAAAGUUGAAAUGGAAUCAAGAAGAGGAAGCAAAGAGCAGUUGUGGCCAGUGGAAAUGGGUCAGAGGUGGGUUUACGGAAAGAGAGAAGGAUUUAUUUAAUAAUCCAGUGGAUAAGAUGAUUCAUUUUGUGGAUACCAGUCAGCUGAAUCUUUCCCCAGCCACACUCUCAUCUUCCAAUGGGCUUAUGAACAAAGUGGCCAUGGUGGCAGGGAUGGAAGUUAUGCAUGGACUCAGCAACAUGGACUUCCACUCACCAAGGCUGACCUGGAUAUAGUCACUGGUGAGUGUCUAAUCUGCCAACAGCAGAGACAAGCACUGCGUCCUCCAGAUGGCAUCAUUUCUGAGAGUGAACAGAUGAGUCUCCCUCUGUCACCCAGGCUGGAGUGCAGUGGCACAAUCUCGGCUCACUGCAACCUCCACCUCCCGGGUUCAAGCGAUUCUCCUGCUUCAGUCUCCUGAGUAGCUGGGACUACAGGUGCGUGUGCCACCAUGCCUGGCUAAUUUUUUGUUAGCCAGGAUGGUCUUGAUCUCCUGAUCUCAUGAUCCACCCUCCUCAGCCCCCUACACAACAUAGAUAAAUGUCAAAAUCAUUAUGUGAGUUGAGAGAAACCUGAUGCAAAAGAAUAUGUACUGUAUGAUUCUACUUAUGUAAAAUCUACAAAAGGCAAACUAAUUUAUAGUGACAAAAAUUCACAAGUUCAGUGACUGCCUGGGGCCUGGGGCAGAGGGAGAGAUGAACUGCAAAUCAUGACAGAGAAUAUUCUGGGAAUGAUUAAAAGAUUUGGACGUUUGAAUGUAGCAGUAGUUUCACAGAAAUAUACACUUGCCAAAACUCAUACAAGUGUGUACUUUAAAUUCAUGCAUUAAAAAGAACACAUAAAUUGCACCUUAGAAAAGAUAAGGGUCAUCUGCGCAAUAAGAAAACAUAAAUUGAGAGUGGCUCAAACAUGAUGGAAUUUAAUGUCACAGGGUGAUCCAAAGCUGAUAUGGCAGCUCCACAUUGUCUGCAGGGACCUGCGCUACCAGAGCCCUGUCAAUAUUUUGGCUCACGGUCAUUUUUUUGUUCAAGGUACUACUAUAACUAUUCACGACAUGCACGUUCCAGGCUGAUGGCAAAAGGAGAGUGAAAGAUAAACAGACCCUGAGCAAAGGGAUUUGGGUGCAAUGCAUAUAUUUGGAAGACGAUCCCAAGGAGAUACAGUGAGAGACUGUGGAUGUGGUGCAGGGAUAAUGAGUGUGUUAUUGCUCCAAGCAACAGAGGCUCAGUUCCACUGGGUACCCUCCGAGAAACUCUGGAAAAUGCAUCUCAGAAGGGCCCCUUCAUUCCCACCCACUGUGGAGUUGAGGAAGUUGCGACAUUCAUUCACUUCUUUUUACUCCUCAUUGGUUGAAGUUUCCUCCUGAGGCACCACAGACUGUUCUCACAGCUGACAGAGGGAGCUCCCUUAUUCGCUGGAGGCUUCACGCAGAGAGAAAUGUCAAAACCCAGAGUCAGAUCAGUCUGAGCACACGUGUCUGCUGGUAACUUUCUGUGGAAACCAGGGGUAAGGGUGAAUGUACUCACAGCAUCUGCUGCACAAGUUUUAUUUCAUGUGGUCAGAACAUGCUAACUGUAUUAUUUCAUUGUCUUUUCCUUUUAAAAAAUAUUAUUGGCUGGGUGCGGUGGCUCAUGCCUGUAAUCCCAGCACUUUGGGAGGCCUAGGCAGGAGGAUUGCCUGAGCUCAGGAGUUCACGACCAGCCUGGGCAACAAGGUGAAACCCCAUCUCUACUAAAAAUACAAAAAAUUAGCCGGAUGUGAUGGUGUGCGCCCGUAGUCCCAGCCACUUGGGAGGCUGAGGCAGGAGAAAUGCUUGAUCCCAGAGACGGAGGUUGCAGUGAGCCGAGAUCGCGCCACUGCAUUCCAGCCUGAGCAACAGAGUGAGACUCCAUCUCAAAAAAAAAAAAAAUUAUUAUUAUUAAGGAGUGCUAAAUUUUGAAAAUGUUACAUAUAAACUAGAAAAAUUAUCUGUUAUCUGAUAAUGGAUUUUAAUAAAUAUUGAUUGGUUAGAUCUAUAUAUUAAUUUUAUAAGGUCUCUUUAAUUCAUUUUAUUUUUUUAGGACUGAGAGAACUGUGUUGAAAUCUCCUGUUAUUAGUAUCUUUUUGCUUGCAUAACCUGCAAUUUCUACUGUUGCUGUUUUAUUAGGUGAAUAGAUCUCAAUAACUUACAUUUUCAUUGUGGAUUAUAGUCUUUAGAAUUGUUAGUUUCAUUCAUUGCCUCUCAGUUUUUGAACUUUUCAUUUUGCAAUAAUUAUAGAUUCACAGGAGUUUGAAAAGAUAGUACAAAGAGAUCCCACAUGCCGUCGGUACAUUAUGUGUGUGUAGUUCUAUAUCGUUUUAUCACAUGUGCAGAUGCAUGUAACCACCGUCACCACUGAGAUAGAACUGUUACAACACCACAAAGACCCUUCCUGCUACCCUUUUAGAAUCCCACCACUCCCUCCCCACAACCAUCCCUCACCCAUGGCAACCAGCCAUCUCCCAUACCUAUACUUUUGCAUUUUCAGAAUGUUAUAUAAAUGGAAUCACAUGCCAUGGGGACUUUUGAGAUUGUCCCCUUUUUUUUCAUUCAGCAUAAUUCCCUUGAGAGCCAUAAAAAUUAUUGCAUGUAUAAAUAGUUCUUUUUUUAAUAUCUGAGUCUUUUUGAGUAGUAUGUGUGUGCUCCAGUUUGUUUAAUCAUUCACCUAUUAUAAAACAUUUUGCUUGUUCCAGUUUCGGCUAUUACAAAUAAAUCAGCAAUUAAUAAACAUGUUGAGCUAUUUAUGUGAACACCCAUCUUUAUUUCUCUAAGUUAAACACCUG
rnacentral:lncRNA from 10 species